UGGGGAAUAUUGCACAAUGGAGGGAACUCUGAUGCAGCGACGCCGCGUGAACGAAGAAGGCUUUCGAGUCGUAAAGUUCUUUUAUAUGGGAAGAUAAUGACGGUACCAUAAGAAAAAGCCCCGGCUAACUACGUGCCAGCAGCCGCGGUUAUACGUAGGGGGCUAGCGUUGUCCGGAAUCACUGGGCGUAAAGGGUUCGCAGGCGGAAAUGCAAGUCAGGUGUAAAAGGCAGUAGCUUAACUACUGUAAGCAUUUGAAACUGCAUAUCUUGAGAAGAGUAGAGGUAAGUGGAAUUUUUAGUGUAGCGGUGAAAUGCGUAGAUAUUAAAAAGAAUACCGGUGGCGAAGGCGGCUUACUGGGCUCAUUCUGACGCUGAGGAACGAAAGCGUGGGUAGCAAACAG
rnacentral:rRNA from 1 species